rnacentral:rRNA from 1 species
GAUGAACGCUGGCGGCGUGCCUAAUACAUGCAAGUCGAGCGAACAGACGAGGAGCUUGCUCCUCUGACGUUAGCGGCGGACGGGUGAGUAACACGUGGAUAACCUACCUAUAAGACUGGGAUAACUUCGGGAAACCGGAGCUAAUACCGGAUAAUAUAUUGAACCGCAUGGUUCAAUAGUGAAAGACGGUUUUGCUGUCACUUAUAGAUGGAUCCGCGCCGCAUUAGCUAGUUGGUAAGGUAACAGCUUACCAAGGCAACGAUGCGUAGCCGACCUGAGAGGGUGAUCGGCCACACUGGAACUGAGACACGGUACAGACUCCUACGGGAGGCAGCAGUAGGGAAUCUUCCGCAAUGGGCGAAAGCCUGACGGAGCAACGCCGCGUGAGUGAUGAAGGUCUUCGGAUCGUAAAACUCUGUUAUUAGGGAAGAACAAAUGUGUAAGUAACUAUGCACGUCUUGACGGUACCUAAUCAGAAAGCCACGGCUAACUACGUG